AUGUUGCUACUCGGUAUCUGUGUAUUGUGGGGACCCAUCCUAACAGAUCUGAGUCAUGCAGAUUCUGUCACUCAGUCAAUUACCUCAGAACUUCGGACAGAAGGAGAAGCGGUGAACAUUACCUGUACCUAUGACACUACAUUGAGUAGCUAUGUGCUAUUCUGGUAUCGACAGCAUCCAGGCACACAGCCCGAAUAUGUACUGCGCAAAGAUACUAGUGGUAGCAUGUACAAAGCGGAAUUUGCUGCAGAUCGCUUUUCUGUAGAUCUUCAGACCUCGAAGAAAUUCACCAGUUUGAAAAUAGCCAGACUGGACGUGACUGACACUGCCGUGUAUUACUGUGCUUUCUGGAACUCACAGUGA